rnacentral:tRNA from 1 species
GGGUGGGUAGCUCAGUGGUUAGAGCAUAGGUUUCGUACCCGGAAGGUCCAGGGAUCGAAUCCCGUGAGAGGCA